rnacentral:tRNA from 1 species
AUUUAUAUAGUUUAAUUAAUAAAACCUUAUAUUUUCAUUAUAAAAAUAAUAAAUUUUUUAUUUAUAAAUA